AUAGUUUAAAUGGCCGCAGUAUUUUGACUGUGCAAAGGUAGCAUAAUCACUUGUCUUUUAAUUGGAGGCUGGAAUGAAGGAGGCGACGAAAUUUAGACUAUUGGUUUAUAAUAUAAAAUUGACAUAAAGGUUAAAAGGCCUUUCUAAUUCAAAGGGACGAUAAGACCCUAUAAAACUUUUCUAUAAGUUAUAUUAUAUAGGUAGAAUUUAGACUUAUAGUUUAACUGGGGCGGUCUAUAUAAAAACAAUUGUAGGAUAAAUAUAUUAAAUAAAAUUUGAGAACUCUAAUUUGAAAUAAACAAGUUACUUUAGGGAUAACAGCAUAAUUCUCUCAGAGAGUUCUAAUUGACGGGAGAGUUUAUGACCUCGAUGUUGAAUUGGGGUGUCUAAUGUAAGCAGAGAUAUAUUAAGAUAGUCUGUUCGACUAUUAAAUUCCC
rnacentral:rRNA from 1 species